GGACCCGCACAAGUAGUGGAGCAUGUGGUUUAAUUCGAAGAUACGCGCAGAACCUUACCAACACUUGACAUGUUCGUCGCGACUUUAAGAGAUUAAAGUUUUCGGUUCGGCCGGACGAAACACAGGUGCUGCAUGGCUGUCGUCAGCUCGUGUCGUGAGAUGUUGGGUUAAGUCCCGCAACGAGCGCAACCCUCACUUUUAGUUGCCAUCAUUAAGUUGGGCACUCUGAAAGAACUGCCAGUGAUAAGCUGGAGGAAGGUGGGGAUGACGUCAAGUCCUCAUGGCCCUUACGUGUUGGGCUACACACGUGCUACAAUGGUAUCUACAACAGGAAGCAAAACAGCGAUGUUAAGCAAAUCCUUAAACACUAUCUCAGUUCGGAUCGGAGUCUGCAACUCGACUCCGUGAAGCUGGAAUC
rnacentral:rRNA from 1 species